GUAACCUAUCUCAGCGGUUCGCACACUUUACACUUCAGCCAAUCACAAUCCCCGGAGAUUCGUUAAAGCACAGUUGGCUCCUGCCUUCCCCACCUCAUCCGUCCAACCUCCCCUUUCUGACUCUUUAAGUCUUCCAAGGGCCGGAGAUUUUGCGUUUCUAACAAGUUCCCAGGUGAUGCUGAGGCAGUCGUGAAGAUCAAGAGCUAGCGUUCACGUUUCAUUUCGUUCCAACCCCGGCCUCUUUUCCUCGGAAUGUUAGACUCUUACUUUUCCUCUUGAGUAUGCGCCAAGCCUAUGUGUGUAGCAGCAAAAGGUUGUCAAGGUCAUCAACAACAAAGGAAGAGUGGGGAACUGCUCCAGAUUCAGACUAAGGAGACAUGACACUCACACGCCAGGCAGAGUCAUGGAUUGGACCCUGAAGCCACUGGAAAUCCAAGUGGAUAGAUAAACAUACCGAGGUGUGGUCAAGCGGUGAAAGGCUAGUCAACCAUAAAGACAGAAUGAAAUGCUGCUAUAUACCAUGACGUGGAUGGAUCCCAAAA